UACGUAGGGUGCAAGCGUUGUCCGGAAUUAUUGGGCGUAAAGAGCUCGUAGGCGGUCUGUCACGUCGACUGUGAAAUCCCGAGGCUCAACCUCGGGCCUGCAGUCGAUACGGGCAGACUAGAGUUCGGUAGGGGAGACUGGAAUUCCUGGUGUAGCGGUGAAAUGCGCAGAUAUCAGGAGGAACACCGGUGGCGAAGGCGGGUCUCUGGGCCGAUACUGACGCUGAGGAGCGAAAGCGUGGGGAGCGAACAGG
rnacentral:rRNA from 1 species